rnacentral:rRNA from 1 species
AAAGGAAUUGACGGGGGCCCGCACAAGCAGCGGAGCAUGUGGUUUAAUUCGAUGCAACGCGAAGAACCUUACCAGGGCUUGACAUCCUCUGAAGCUAUAAGAGAUUAUAGUGUCCCUUCGGGGCAGAGAGACAGGUGGUGCAUGGUUGUCGUCAGCUCGUGUCGUGAGAUGUUGGGUUAAGUCCCGCAACGAGCGCAACCCUUGUUCUCAGUUGCCAGCACUUCGGGUGGGCACUCUGAGGAGACUGCCGGUGACAAACCGGAGGAAGGUGGGGAUGACGUCAAAUCAUCAUGCCCCUUAUGUCCUGGGCUACACACGUGCUACAAUGGCCUGAACAACGGGCAAGCAAUGGGGCGACCCGGAGCAAAUCCCUAAAUCAGGUCCCAGUUCGGAUUGCAGGCUGCAACUCGCCUGCAUGAAGUCGGAGUUGCUAGUAAUCGCGGAUCAGCAUGCCGCGGUGAAUGCGUUCCCGGGCCUUGCACACACCGCCCGU